rnacentral:rRNA from 1 species
AGCAGCCGCGGUAAUUCCAGCUCCAAUAGCGUAUAUUAAAGUUGUUGCAGUUAAAAAGCUCGUAGUUGAAUUUCGGGGUUAGUAGGUUGGUCAUGCCUCUGGUAUGCACUGGCCUCACUGAUUCCUCCUUCCUGAUGAGCCGUAAUGCCAUUAAUUUGGUGUUGCGAGGAAUCUGGACUGUUACUUUGAAAAAAUUAGAGUGUUUAAAGCAGGCUAACGCUUGAAUACAUUAGCAUGGAAUAAUGAAAUAGGACGUUCGAUCUUAUUUUGUUGGUUUCUAGGAUUGACGUAAUGAUUAAUAGGGAUAGUUGGGGGCAUUAGUAUUCAAUUGUCAGAGGUGAAAUUCUUGGAUUUAUUGAAGACUAACUACUGCGAAAGCAUUUGCCAAGGAUGUUUUCAUUAAUCAAGAACGAAAGUUAGGGGAUCGAAGACGAUCAGAUACCGUCGUAGUCUUAACCAUAAACUAUGCCGACUAGGGAUCGGAUGAUGUUAAUUUUUUAAUGACUCAUUC